AGUGGACCAACAACUACGCAAUGCCCAUGGGUGUGGCAGUUGCCUCUGGACGUGAGCUUGGGGCUGGCGGGUAGAGCUGUGUUUCCGUCUUUCCGAUACUUCUCUUGAUCAAACAGAGUUCCUGUCUGUCAGCUAUAUGCCCAGCGGUCAUCCAUAGCUCUGCAGUCUGCAUGCAGGUGAGUUGAAGCUCGUCGUUAAGCGUGAGAGUCUACUGACGUUUGACCGAGCACAUUGUCUGGAGGACAUACGUGCCACAGAAGGCAAGUUGGGAGACAACUAUGAGUUCUAGUUUCUUGUGCAAACAUCACGUCUAAUCGGGUUCAGUGAG